rnacentral:rRNA from 1 species
UUAUCGGAGAGUUUGAUCCUGGCUCAGGACGAACGCUGGCGGCGUGCCUAAUACAUGCAAGUCGAGCGGACAGAUGGGAGCUUGCUCCCUGAUGUUAGCGGCGGACGGGUGAGUAACACGUGGGUAACCUGCCAGUAAGAC